AAAAACUUAAAAUAAAGUGUUAAUCAUUGGUUAAUCAUUUUGAGAUUGGCUAAAGAUUACAUGUUUGGUUGUUACCGACUAUGUCAGUUUUGAAAUGUACACAAUUUUGUAACACACAUGCAUAUUAAGGCAUAUAAUUAAUUUUAUAUGGACUAUAUACAAUUCAAAAAUGUUUUUAAAGAUUAAUUUUAAAAAUAAAUGUUGAUGAUCAAGCUAAAUGUCAUCUAGAUAAUGAAAACGAGUGUGCACAAUUAAUUAAAUAUACAAUAUUGGCUGUUUUCACUAAAUAAAGACAUUUUUGUUAUUGGCCAUAACCAAUAUGAUAUCAUUAUAUGUGCAUUGAUAGUUAUUUCAUUUGAAGGGUUAUUUAAAACCCUUAAUUAACCAGCAAAGUCUAAACCUUCGUUUAGUUUAGUGUUUGAUUUAUAAGUGAGCACGAGCAUUUACACUAUAUAAAUGCAUUGUGGCCACAUGUUUUUGCCCACAUUCAAAUGUAUUUAAAAGUGGUAAAACUCUAAACAAUUUGUACUGUUUACACUAAUAUUUAGCGCUGUCUACUUUUGAUGAUACACCAGGUGUAAAUGAGGUAUAGAAGUUCUUCCUACCGUUUCUUGUUUUCCAUUUUGAAACAGCAGCAUAGUUGGCAACAGAGUAUUUUCAAGAGUGAAAAAUUAUUUUUGCAAAUAAAUAGAUCUGUGUCGCGCUUCUGCUAGGAGACAGCCUAACUCACGCCAGGGUUCAAUAAUUAAUUCCUGUGCUGAGAGUUUCAGAGACGUGCUGAUUGGAAUGAUUUUCUCUUCUUCUUUUCCUCUUUUUUUCUCCUUCUCUGUUAUGAUACAAAGGAGGCUGUUUGAAGUAAUUUGUCCCAGAGAGAGUGGCUUGGAAUACCAUACAAGCUUUGAUUUAGCAAAGCAAAUUUAAUUUUGUUUGCUUUAUGCAAACCAGCCAGGACCGAAGGGGCUUUCUCUGAUUUCGCUUUGGGGUGGGGGAGGUAUCCGGUUCUAAUGGGAGCGUGAGAGAAGCAUGUUCACGAACGGAUUCGGUAUCUAAUAUAGCAUGCGGUUCAAAAGUACAGCGCCCAUCCCCCUCUUCCACGCCUUGAAAUAAUUGUCUGUGUUGUCUUAUUUUUGUACCUUUCAUCCUAAUAACGAAAGCAAUUCCAGCUUCUUUUGUUUUGCUUUUGGAGAACUGCCUGAUGUGAAUGUUUCCUAAUAUGCUUAGCUAUUCUUACGGUUGUGUGUCUAGCUGUGGUUAUGGAUCUAUUGGGCACGGUUCGCAAACCUUUACCAUUGCUCUCUACGUGCUAUUGUGUUCUAGUCCAUAUAGCAAGGCUUUCUCUUCAGGGUCAAACCAUCUACUGUUUGCAAAUUGUCUCGUUCAGCAAGGUACAAGCAGCCACUCAGGUAGGAUUCUCAGUAACAGCCCUUAAUAACAGUGGUUUUAUAAUGAAAUGGACAAAAACCAUCCCCAAGGUCACAACUUUAAAAACAUUGUAUCUCCAGCACUCAUUCCUGCAUACUUUGAACUGUACUUUGGCUGUACCAUUUACUUAAUAGCAUUUUAGUUUGCCGUUCGUAACUGAACAAUGUAGAAAAUGGGUGGUCUACUUUUGUUGAAAGACUGUUCAAGAAAUAAUGAGUAUAUAAAGCAAAAGCCCAUUUUUUACCGUUUUAUAUAUAUAAAUAUAGAGAGAAACCUCUCCUUGACUAGCCUCCGUUCUUUUGUAAUACAAAACUUAUCCAAUAUCUUUCAAGCUCUCUCCGCAGUUUAAAGGUCUUAAUUGGAUUCCAUCAAUAUAUUGCUUGACACAACCUCAGGUCCGCCACAUUCCCUCUCAACUCUGCGGAGGGAAGCCGCCUCAUUCAUUCCGUCAGGCUUUGUAAUGCUGUGAAUAUUCUUAGUUAAAUUGGCAGUUUUCAGAGCUAUUAUUUAAGCCUGAUUGGACUGCAAAAGCAUGUUUUAAAUGAAGUGAAUGUCAAGAAAGAAAGAAAGAAAGAGAGAAAAUAGCAUGUUACCUCUACACACGGGUCCGUAUAAAGUAUUUCGCUCUCUGUAGGCUGACUCAAGUGUAAAACUUUGUAAGUAUAUGUAUGAAAGGUACAAAUGACUAGGUUAUUAAAGUAGAAUUAGGCUGCCAGGCUUUGAGUAACAGUCAGCCCUGACGUUCUCUCACUCUCCUUUUUCUUUCUUUGUUCCAUGGCUAUUGACGGGCAUGGAGAGGCGUUUGAUUGCCAAGACAGCAGUGACAGUGCCUGACCCUGACCCAAUAAAAGGAGCAGACUACCACAUCCAUGACAGCAAGCACGUUCCUUCUCAUCAGUCAGGACUCCAGUGGAGAUUUGUGAGGGUAUGAGAGUAUAAACACAUCCUCGUCCUGCUCUUGAACACUUCCAGACUGGCCCUCACACAGCUCUGACUGACUACAAAAUGAGAGAGAGAGAGAGACCGUGUGAAGAAGAAGAAGAAGAAUAUCCUGAGUCAGUGGGGAAAGGGAUGUUGGCUGCAAAGUAAAGUCAUUUAAAACCCACCCAGAUGCCUCCAGGUGGGAGAUAACAAGUGUACAAUAAGAGCCUGCGAGUGAGACCACAUUAAGAAGGCAACACAAACAAGAAGAAAUCUCAAGGAUAAAGAGGAUUCAGGGUCACAAGAAACCAUUUCCCGCCAUAUCUGACUGGCCUGUGACAUAAGAGGGUUUGUGCAGACAACAUCCCAGCAGCCCCAAAGUAACAUUGAAGAUUUCAGUUUCCCCUGAACAGAUCGGCAUUGAUCGAUUUCAGGUAUGGAAACAUGUCAGGACUCUCUCAGGACUGUUGCAGGAUAAUGACACUGAAGACUGGAGUAAUGGCUGCUGAGAAUGUCAUCACAUGAGACAUGAGAUGUGGCAGAAAACCAGAAGGAGAAAUGGGAUGUGGAAAUUAUACCAGGUGGAUUUAAACUCUGGUCAUCUUGCAAAUUUGCAAGACCACACAACGUAUUGGAGCGUGUGUAGCCAUGUCUCUGAAUUUUUUAUUGAUUGUUUUCUUCAGUAUAACUAGCUUGCAAGAUAUAUGUUGAUUGGCAUUGCAUUAUUAUGAGGAUCAAGGAAAUCCCAUGAUGGUUCAUAGUAAUAUUGGCAACAUCUUUAUCAAUAUAUAAAUCAGCAAAAACCAUGUGCAGCUCCUUGUCAUUCAUGGCUGUCUGGGUAACAUUAGACAUACUCCAUCUCAGGGGCUCUCAGAGAUGUUUUCUCCUCUGUGAAGUAAAGGUUCAUGUUGGUUUAUGUUGUGGAAGGCUGUAUAUCAGGUUUUGAAUGUGUUGGGAGGCUGUUCGCCGUCUCUCCUCUGGUUCUUCCCCCAGAGGCAGGAGCCUUAUGGAUUGCAGCAACGAGGAGGAGAAAUAAAUUGGAGAGUAGGAUAAAUCGAUGCUUGACGGAGAGGCAAAUAGACCUUCCAACCUCAGUCCAAACGCAGAGCUUUGGUUAUUUUCCUUAGGGCUGUAUUGGAUUGGUUGACGGCGGCUGAGGAGAGGGCUCAGACAAGACUUGGCCUACAAAUGAUGUCCUUUGUUUUAAUUCAUUAAUUUCAUUAAUGUGUAAAGAACCUUUAGCAUUUUGGGGUGGACGUUGGUCCUUUCUUGGCAGAAUGGUUUCUGGAGUGUCAAAAAGCAAUGUCAAAUAGGGCAUAAUUUUACUCUACUGCAUUUGGUUUGUUAUAAACUCUUAAAUCAUGUUUUCCAUAUUCAAACACCUUCAAAUUUUGUCCAUUCAAAUCAUGACUUGAACCCCAUACAUAGAGCUGACACUCAAAACACUACGGUAAACAUCAAGCAACAGAGUCGAGAUCAACUGGUGCAAGCACAAAUUUCAAGUCAAAGCUGCAGAGCAAACUUGUCCAAAAGGUCAAAAUUUAGUGAGCAGCUAUGUGCAUGUGGAUUUGUUUGCUUGUGUGUGUGAUGCAGAGUUGCACA